CGACUGACCAGUCGGAAAGAGGAGAUUGAUUGAUUGAGAGACACUGAGAGAAGCGGAGCUGGCACACGUGCUCGUGUUCUACGCCUGUUUCCGCACAACAAGCUCGAGACACUUUUUCUUUUACUUUUUCUUUGAUUAAUAGUAGGGCUAGUAUUAUUAGAAUUAGAUUAGGGUUGGGAAGGAGGGGUUUAAGAGGCUCAUGGCUUCAGGGAAGGGGGAUGAGGGUGGUGGGUGGCAGACGGUGGUGAAGGAAAAGGGGGGCGUCUAAGAGGGGGCGAUCGAGUGAAAGACCUGAAAUGUCAGGAGAUGAAGGAAAUAAGGUUAGGAAAACUGGAAAUACUGAAGAGUUUGUCGUGCUGUUUAAAGUUAAGGGAACUAAUCAAGGAGAUGCAGGAUUUAGAGCAGUGAAUCCAUUAAAAGUUACCAGUGCUUUGGAGAGUCAGAUAGGCAAAGAAUUUCAGGCCAAGAUCUUGUUUAAUGGAACGUUAAGAGUUUGUUGUAAAAACAGGAAACAGUAUAAUGAUGCUAGAGGUGUGGGAAAGCUGGUGGUCAAGGUGGAGGCAUUGAUCCCUAGAGGAAGCCAGCAAGGAAUCAAGGCAGUGGUGUAUGGAGUGUUUGCUGGCUUAUCUGAGAAGGAAAUCUUAGAAAACAUUAAGGGGGCCCAGGUAAGUGAUGUGAUCAGAUUUAAGCGUGUGGAUGGAGCAGGGGAUCCGUCGGUCCUGUUGACGUUUAAAGAUAGUGUACUGCCACAGAGAGUGUUUCUUGGGAGUAUGGCGUAUUAUGUGAGAGAGUACAUUAAACCACCGUUGCGCUGCUAUAACUGUCAGAGGUUUGGACAUGUUGCUGGGGCUUGUCGGGGUAAAAGAAGGUGUGCAAAGUGCGGUGGAGAUCAUAUAAUACAAAGUUGCAAGGCAGAGGCUCCUAAGUGCCCUAACUGUGAGGGGGAUCAUGGGGCAGGGUUUCACGGGUGUGAGCGAUUUGUUCAGGCUAAGCGGGUGCAGGAUGUGAGGGAGCUGAACAAGGUGUUGUAUGCAGAGGCAGUUCAAAGAGUGGAUAGAGAAUGUGGAAAUGGGAGAUCUGGUACUACAGUGUCAGGAUGCCAGUUCAAUGCUCCAAACUUGCAGUCGGACCUUCAUUCUGAUAUGUUGAAUCUUACAAAGGAGUCAUUUCUGUCUUUUGUGUCUGAUGUGUUGGUAGGAGCUAAGAAAGCAGCUAACCGCUCAGAUAUUAUUAGGUUAGUGGUGGGGGCAGCUGAAAGGUUCCUCGGUAUAACGCAGUUGCCAGAAGAGCUACAUCAAUACAUGAAGGCGAGUCAACCUAUGGAUAGGUCACAGUUGGUGAGGGUUAGCAGUAUGGAGGAUGUUGGUGAAGUGGAUGAGGUGGAUCCUCAUUAGCAUCUUAAUGUGGCAUAUUCUUCAAUGGAAUGCCAGGAGUCUAAUAGGAAAUGGUCAGGAGUUAAAAAGGUUUGUUGAUGAAUUUAAAGAAGCUCCAGAAUUGAUAUGUAUUCAAGAGACUUGGUUAAAGCCUUCUCUAGAUUUUGUAAUUCCAGGGUAUGAAUGUUUGAGAGUAGAUAGGUCUGAUAGAUCAGGUGGGGGUUGUGCAACUUUUGUUAAGAUUGGGCUGCAG
rnacentral:lncRNA from 15 species